GAAAUGCGAUAAGUAGUGUGAAUUGCAGAAUUCAGUGAAUCAUCGAAUCUUUGAACGCACAUUGCGCCCCUUGGUAUUCCAUGGGGCAUGCCUGUUCGAGCUUCAUUUGUACCCUCAAGCUCUGCUUGGUGUUGGGUGUUUGUCCCCGUCUCCGCGCGUGGACUCGCCCCAAAGUGAUUGGCAGCCGGCGUACUGGUCCCGGAGCGCAGCACAUGUCGCGCAAACGAGUGCCUUGGUACGGCGGCGUCCAUAAGCCCCUCUCUCACGCUCUUGACCUCGGAUCAGGUAGGGAUACCCGCUGAACUUAAGC
rnacentral:misc_RNA from 1 species